GGAACGAAAACGAAAAAUGAUUUUUUCUUUUUUUUGGUUUGUUUGUUUAGCCCGCGAGUGGGAUCUCUCCGGUGAUGUUUGGAGGCCAGAUGAGCGAGGAGGCGGCGGAAAAAGUGAUCAAAACCUGUUCAUCCACUGAAGUUGAAGAAGAUGCCUUGUCAUGAGGGCCACUGCAAGUUUUCACAAUAAGCGAUGCAUGCAUUUUUUGUGAAUUCGGAGUGCUUUGAAUCAUUAGGGCAGAAAUCACUUUGGAGAAUAACACGUGCAUUUAUCAGAUUUGGGGUACCAUGCAUUAAUCCUAAUUUCUAGGAAGUGUUUUAUUGAAAGUGUCUUCCAUUUGCUAGAAUUUCAGAGGAUUGGAAGAGUGAAAGAUUUCAUUGCUUUGUUGAUUUGGAUAAAGCAUGUGCCUUGUAAAAAUUAACUGUUAGUUGAUUCUGUACUUCUAUGAGUAACUGAACUAGAUUUUUUGGUGAUGUGAGAUUCUAUAAUAAUUUAUGCUUACCAUAUUAUGGGACUUGGGUUCUC